AUGUGUGUCCCGAAGAAGAAGGGAGGCAUGGGGUUUAGAGACCUUCACAGUUUUAACCUUGCUAUGUUAGCAAAGCAGUGUUGGUGACUUCUCCAAAAUCCUGACUCUUUGUGUGCACGUGUCCUGAGUGCAAAAUAUUAUCCUAAUGGCGAUAUUCUCAAAGUUAGUCAAAAUAAAGGCUCAUCUUUUACUUAGCAAAGUAUUGUAGCUGGGAUACAAACUUUCAAAAGGGGUUGCAUCUGGCGAGUGGGCACUGGUUCCCAGAUUAACAUUUGGGAGGACCCUUGGAUCCCUUCCAGCGAAACCAGGAAGCUUAUUACCCCUAGAGGAGGAAUUAUGUUAACAAAGGUGGAAGGUAUAAUCGACCCCCACACAGGACAGUGGGAUGAGGCACUAUUGCAUAGUGUGUUCUUACCAGUGGAUGUGCAUAGAAUACUUCAAAUCCACCUCCAUGUUGAUGAUGGGGAACGUAGUAAUUUCAAAAAAAAAAUCCUACGCACACGCAAGAUCAUGGUGAUGCAUAGCAACGAGAGGGGAGAGUGUGAUCUACGUACCCUUGUAGAUCGACAGCGGAAGCGUUAG
rnacentral:rRNA from 1 species